GGUCGUGUGGCCUAAUGGAUAAGGCGUCGGACUUCAAUGAAAGUAGUUAUCCGAAAAUUGCGGGUUCGAGUCCCACCACGAUUA
rnacentral:tRNA from 1 species